rnacentral:rRNA from 1 species
GAAUCUUCGGCAAUGGGCGCAAGCCUGACCGAGCGACGCCGCGUGGAGGACGAAGGCCUUCGGGUUGUAAACUCCUGUCGAGGGGGAAAAAGGCCCCGCAAGGGGCUUGAUUGAUCCCUGGAGGAAGCACGGGCUAAGUUCGUGCCAGCAGCCGCGGUAAGACGAACCGUGCGAACGUUAUUCGGAAUCACUGGGCUUAAAGCGCGUGUAGGCGGAUGAGCACGUCUGUCGCUGAAAUCCCCCGGCUCAACCGGGGAACGGGCGGAGAUACGGCUCAUCUGGAGGGGCGUAGGGGGACCUGGAACUUCCGGUGGAGCGGUGAAAUGCGUUGAGAUCGGAAGGAACGCCCGUGGCGAAAGCGAGGUCCUGGACGCCUACUGACGCUGAGACGCGAAAGCCAGGGGAGCGAACGG